CGUUCUGCAGCCCCUCCUUCAGCGUGGUCUUCACCUGCUCAUACUCGCUCUCCAGCUGGGGGCUGAAGGGCAUCUCCAGCAGGACCAGGGAUGGGUUCUCACUAUGUUGCCCAGGCUGGUCUUGAACUGCUUUCAGGUGAUCCACCCGCCUAGCCUACCCAAAGUGCUAGGAUUGCAAGUGUGAGCCACCACAUCUGGCCUGACGUUCUCUUCUUGUUGCAUCAAGCCAUCAUCCACCGGGCGCCCCUAGACUGUGCUGAAGAAGAGAGGUGCCACCCCUCCUCCAGAUAAAUGGCCCCAGAAAACGAUCCGAAAAAAUACCCAGGGAGUGAUUCCUUAUGUACCCCCUCCACCCCUCUUUAUAAAAUCUGAUGAUUACAAAA